rnacentral:rRNA from 1 species
AUGCUACCUCCAAAAAAUUUCUUUUUUAGUUCAAUUCUUCGUCAUAGUAGGGUAGAUCUCUAUUGCACAGUCGAGAUGUGUUCAAUCCAACCCCAUGGCAUUAGGGAGGUCGAGUUCGUCACGAGUAGCAGUACAUGGUUGUUGGCUUACUCCAGCAGCCAGCCCAGCCUUCCCUCCCGGUCAUCAAUCCAACUUCUUGCUUCGACGCCGGUCACUCAAAGAGCCGCGUGCAGGCCACCCGUGUUUCACCUCCUGAUCCAGCUCAACUUUCUCCAUUCUUCAGCAUUUUUGAUUGUCGCAUGA